rnacentral:rRNA from 1 species
UGGAGUAGAGGGAAGAAGGGAGUUGUCGCCGGAUGUUAGCGGCGGACGGGUGAGUAACACGUGGGUAACCUGCCUGUAAGACUGGGAUAACUCCGGGAAACCGGAGCUAAUACCGGAUAGUUCCUUGAACCGCAUGGUUCAAGGAUGAAAGACGGUUUCGGCUGUCACUUACAGAUGGACCCGCGGCGCAUUAGCUAGUUGGUGGGGUAAUGGCUCACCAAGGCGACGAUGCGUAGCCGACCUGAGAGGGUGAUCGGCCACACUGGGACUGAGACACGGCCCAGACUCCUACGGGAGGCAGCAGUAGGGAAUCUUCCGCAAUGGACGAAAGUCUGACGGAGCAACGCCGCGUGAGUGAUGAAGGUUUUCGGAUCGUAAAGCUCUGUUGUUAGGGAAGAACAAGUGCGAGAGUAACUGCUCGCACCUUGACGGUACCUAACCAGAAAGCCACGGCUAACUACGUGCCAGC